GAUGAACGCUGGCGGCGUGCCUAAUACAUGCAAGUCGAGCGAACGGACGAGAAGCUUGCUUCUCUGAUGUUAGCGGCGGACGGGUGAGUAACACGUGGAUAACCUACCUAUAAGACUGGGAUAACUUCGGGAAACCGGAGCUAAUACCGGAUAAUAUUUUGAACCGCAUGGUUCAAAAGUGAAAGACGGUCUUGCUGUCACUUAUAGAUGGAUCCGCGCUGCAUUAGCUAGUUUGUAAGGUAACGGCUUACCAAGGCAACGAUGCAUAGCCGACCUGAGAGGGUGAUCGGCCACACUGGAACUGAGACACGGUCCAGACUCCUACGGGAGGCAGCAGUAGGGAAUCUUCCGCAAUGGGCGAAAGCCUGACGGAGCAACGCCGCGUGAGUGAUGAAGGUCUUCGGAUCGUAAAACUCUGUUAUUAGGGAAGAACAUAUGUGUAAGUAACUGUGCACAUCUUGACGGUACCUAAUCAGAAAGCCACGGCUAACUACGUG
rnacentral:rRNA from 1 species